UUAUUACUCCCUCUGUCCGAAAAUACUUGUCAUAAGAAUGGAUAUAUUUAGAUGUAUUUUAAUUUUCGAUACAUUCAUUUUAUUCAUUUAUGUGACAAGUAAUUCCGAACGGAGGGAGUACAAC
rfam:Hordeum vulgare subsp. vulgare, WGS project CAJW01000000 data, contig: morex_contig_55716